GGCCUCUGCUUGCAGGGGUACUCGAGUGGCGAACGGGUGAGUAACACGUGGGUGAUCUGCCCUGUACUUCGGGAUAAGCCUGGGAAACUGGGUCUAAUACCGGAUAGGACUGCAUCGAUUGGUGGUGUGGUGGAAAGAUGUUUUUCGGUAUGGGAUGAGCCCGCGGCCUAUCAGCUUGUUGGUGGGGUAAUGGCCUACCAAGGCGGCGACGGGUAGCCGGCCUGAGAGGGUGGACGGCCACAUUGGGACUGAGAUACGGCCCAGACUCCUACGGGAGGCAGCAGUGGGGAAUAUUGCACAAUGGGCGCAAGCCUGAUGCAGCGACGCCGCGUGAGGGAUGACGGCCUUCGGGUUGUAAACCUCUUUCGCUAGGGACGAAGCCAUCGCAAGGUGGUGACGGUACCUGGAUAAGAAGCACCGGCUAACUACGUGCCAGCAGCCGCGGUAAUACGUAGGGUGCGAGCGUUGUCCGGAAUUACUGGGCGUAAAGAGCUCGUAGGUGGUUUGUCGCGUCGUCUGUGAAAUUCCGGGGCUUAACUUCGGGCGUGCAGGCGAUACGGGCAUAACUUGAGUGCUGUAGGGGAGACUGGAAUUCCUGGUGUAGCGGUGAAAUGCGCAGAUAUCAGGAGGAACACCGAURGCGAAGGCAGGUCUCUGGGCAGUAACUGACGCUGAGGAGCGAAAGCAUGGGUAGCGAACAGGAUUAGAUACCCUGGUAGUCCAUGCCGUAAACGGUGGGCGCUAGGUGUAGGGGUCUUCCACGGCCUCUGUGUCGUAGCUAACGCAUUAAGCGCCCCGCCUGGGGAGUACGGCCGCAAGGCUAAAACUCAAAGGAAUUGACGGGGGCCCGCACAAGCGGCGGAGCAUGUGGAUUAAUUCGAUGCAACGCGAAGAACCUUACCUGGGCUUGACAUACACCAGAUCGCUGCAGAGAUGUAGUUUCCCUUGUGGUUGGUGUACAGGUGGUGCAUGGUUGUCGUCAGCUCGUGUCGUGAGAUGUUGGGUUAAGUCCCGCAACGAGCGCAACCCUUGUCUUAUGUUGCCAGCACGUUAUGGUGGGGACUCAUGAGAGACUGCCGGGGUUAACUCGGAGGAAGGUGGGGAUGACGUCAAAUCAUCAUGCCCCUUAUGUCCAGGGCUUCACACAUGCUACAAUGGUCGGUACAGUAGGUUGCGAUACCGUGAGGUGGAGCUAAUCCUGUAAAGCCGGUCGUAGUUCGGAUUGGGGUCUGCAACUCGACCCCAUGAAGUCGGAGUCGCUAGUAAUCGCAGAUCAGCAACGCUGCGGUGAAUACGUUCCCGGGCCUUGUACACACCGCCCGUCACGUCAUGAAAGUUGGUAACACCCGAAGCCAGUGGCCCAAGCCUUUUUGGUGGGGAGCUGUCGAAGGUGGGAUCG
rnacentral:rRNA from 1 species